GACGAACGCUGGCGGCGUGCUUAACACAUGCAAGUCGAGCGGUAAGGCCCUUCGGGGUACACGAGCGGCGAACGGGUGAGUAACACGUGGGUGAUCUGCCUCGCACUUCGGGAUAAGCCUGGGAAACUGGGUCUAAUACCGGAUAUGACCUGCUGUCGCAUGGCGGUGGGUGGAAAGAUUUAUCGGUGCGAGAUGGGCCCGCGGCCUAUCAGCUUGUUGGUGGGGUAAUGGCCUACCAAGGCGACGACGGGUAGCCGGCCUGAGAGGGCGACCGGCCACACUGGGACUGAGACACGGCCCAGACUCCUACGGGAGGCAGCAGUGGGGAAUAUUGCACAAUGGGCGAAAGCCUGAUGCAGCGACGCCGCGUGAGGGAUGACGGCCUUCGGGUUGUAAACCUCUUUCGACAGGGACGAAGCGUAAGUGACGGUACCUGUAGAAGAAGCACCGGCCAACUACGUGCCAGCAGCCGCGGUAAUACGUAGGGUGCGAGCGUUGUCCGGAAUUACUGGGCGUAAAGAGCUUGUAGGCGGUUUGUCGCGUCGUCCGUGAAAACUUGGGGCUCAACCCCAAGCUUGCGGGCGAUACGGGCAGACUUGAGUACUGCAGGGGAGACUGGAAUUCCUGGUGUAGCGGUGAAAUGCGCAGAUAUCAGGAGGAACACCGGUGGCGAAGGCGGGUCUCUGGGCAGUAACUGACGCUGAGAAGCGAAAGCGUGGGUAGCGAACAGGAUUAGAUACCCUGGUAGUCCACGCCGUAAACGGUGGGUACUAGGUGUGGGUUUCCUUCCACGGGAUCCGUGCCGUAGCUAACGCAUUAAGUACCCCGCCUGGGGAGUACGGCCGCAAGGCUAAAACUCAAAGGAAUUGACGGGGGCCCGCACAAGCGGCGGAGGCAUGUGGAUUAAUUCGAUGCAACGCGAAGAACCUUACCUGGGUUUGACAUACACCGGAAACCUGCAGAGAUGUAGGCCCCCUUGUGGUCGGUGUACAGGUGGUGCAUGGCUGUCGUCAGCUCGUGUCGUGAGAUGUUGGGUUAAGUCCCGCAACGAGCGCAACCCUUAUCUUAUGUUGCCAGCGCGUAAUGGCGGGGACUCGUGAGAGACUGCCGGGGUCAACUCGGAGGAAGGUGGGGACGACGUCAAGUCAUCAUGCCCCUUAUGUCCAGGGCUUCACACAUGCUACAAUGGCCGGUACAGAGGGCUGCGAUACCGUGAGGUGGAGCGAAUCCCUUAAAGCCGGUCUCAGUUCGGAUCGGGGUCUGCAACUCGACCCCGUGAAGUUGGAGUCGCUAGUAAUCGCAGAUCAGCAACGCUGCGGUGAAUACGUUCCCGGGCCUUGUA
rnacentral:rRNA from 1 species